GACGAACGCUGGCGGCGUGCCUAACACAUGCAAGUCGAACGGGGUUAAGAGAGCUUGCUCUUUUAACUUAGUGGCGAACGGGUGAGUAACGCGUGAGGAACCUGCCUUUCAGUGGGGGACAACAGUUGGAAACGACUGCUAAUACCGCAUAACAUAUUCGAGCGGCAUCGCUUGAAUAUCAAAGCUUUAUGUGCUGAAAGAUGGCCUCGCGUCUGAUUAGAUAGUUGGUGGGGUAACGGCCCACCAAGUCGACGAUCAGUAGCCGGUCUGAGAGGAUGAACGGCCACAUUGGGACUGAGAUACGGCCCAGACUCCUACGGGAGGCAGCAGUGGGGAAUAUUGGGCAAUGGGGGAAGCCCUGACCCAGCAACGCCGCGUGAAGGAAGAAGGCCUUCGGGUUGUAAACUUCUUUUAGCAGGGACGAAGGACGUGACGGUACCUGCAGAAAAAGCAACGGCUAACUACGUGCCAGCAGCCGCGGUAACAC
rnacentral:rRNA from 1 species